rnacentral:rRNA from 1 species
AGUGGUCUAGGGACAGGCCGCUGCCCUAUGAAGCAAGGGUAGCUGUUUACAGGGGUUAGGUUGAGCUCGCCACCGGCAGUCGUGGUGAUGGUGUCGUAGAAGGAGGAGACUUCUUCUAGGUGGUCCUUCGACGCAGGGUCCACGCUGCGGCAACCACACCGGCAACCGCUGCGGCAACCUCACCGGCAACCGGUCAGGCUCUUGGUGGCGCGCCGACGCAACGUCGAGCCGGGCGCCGUGAUACACGGUCGCCGCCCCGCGGCUACCCGGUCACCUCGACGAGCGGGUCAACAGCUUCUGCAGGGGCUCGCGUCGUCGGGCGCGCCCCUCCGCGUCGGGCUCCGAUCGCGAGCUGCUUCUUCGGGGUCGCGGCCGGCGGAGCACGCGGCCGCAGCCUCUGGCUUCUGCGCCCCUCAGGCCGACGCGCCCGAGGCGCCCGCCGCGUCCAAGCCGGAGGAGGACCUGGAGCAUUAGAACACCGCCCCCACCGACGUCCUGGUAGGUACCGGGGGUUGGUACGUGGCCCGUGCCUGCGCCACCACCUCCUCGGCGUUCAAGGCCGAGUUGCAGCUGCAGGUGACGCAGCAGGCGCCCGAGGUCAUGGAGCAGGCGCAUGUCCAAACCUCGCCAGCCAGGCGGUUCUUAGGUCCGGCCCUCGCCGCGGCGGCGGCCGUACCGGCCAAGCCCGCCUCGUAAUCUUCCGGGUCGUGGUAGCGCUGGGGCUCGCGGUACAGGUUCUGCACCAGGUGCCGCUGCCUUUGGCAAGGCCGCCGGAGGCUUGGCCGCAUCUAGUGCCCGCACCGCCAUAACCGCCGCUUCAGGCGGUUGUGGUACCGCUGCCGCUGCCGGGACAGCCGCAGAUGGCGGCGAUGCUUGUUCCACGUCCUUCUUCCUGUCCUCUGGUGCUCCGUAGGAGAGUGGAAAAGGAAAGAAGGGAAGACCAAGAGAAAAGGCCGCUGACAGCGGCCGCACU